rnacentral:misc_RNA from 1 species
GUUGUCCUUGCGAGUAGAAUGUCUUAUUUGGUUUGUUUUCUCUUCUGUUCUUUUUCUUCUCCAAGGGAGGAGGUUGGUUAAUGGUAGUUGGUCAUAUACUAAUAGAGAGCUAGAGAAGUCUCGUCAUGCUAAAAGAAAAUUAAAAAGAAACAGGAAAAAAGAAAAAGAAUUAUAGUGCGUGUGUAUAUUUAGAGAGAGACGGAGCCCUAUUUGAACUCAAUUCCAUGGUGUGAAUCACAACCAUGAAGUGUUUGUUAUUGGCUCCUUAGCUCUCGCCGUGUUUCGCAAAGGGGGUAAGACCUUCUCAAAAUCCUUAUUUCCACAAAUCCAGGAAUCCUCAAUUCUAUAUCUCUCUCUCAAAUAUCUCUUUUAGAUAAGAUAAAACUGUCUCAAAUUUCAUCAUAAUCUUCAUAGAGAGAGAGAGUUCAUGACUCGCGAGUCGUAUUUUGUGUUGAAAAGGGAUUCUCUUACUCAUGGGUUUUCUUUAGUUUCCUCUUUUGCAUGAACUUCCCUGCCUUUUAGCUCUUCCGCAAUGGUUAUUUUAGCUCCUGUGAUGCUCAUGGACUACUUGAAAGAAGUGGAAGGCAAAAUUGUUCAUGACCAUUUCACCAAUAAGAUGGCUAUGUCACCAAGCAGGUGUACAGGGGUGCAUGGACCUGUCAUAGUUGGUGCUGGCCCUUCAGGUCUCGCCACAGCUGCUUGCCUUAAAGAAAGAGGUGUUCCUAGUUUGAUUCUUGAGAGGGCUAAUUGCAUAGCUUCCUUGUGGCAGCUCAAAACCUACGAUCGUCUCCGCCUCCAUCUUCCAAAGCAGUUCUGCGAGCUCCCUCUCAAGCCAUUCCCAACUGACUUCCCAACAUACCCAACAAAACAACAGUUUGUGGCCUACUUGGAGGCUUACGCAAAGCAUUUUGGUCUAGCACCAGUCUUCAAUAACACAGUGGUGAGUGCGGAAUUCGAUCCUCGAUGUGGGUUUUGGCGUGUCAAGACCUUGGGGCUGAAACAGGAGGAGUCGGAGUAUGUAUGCCAAUGGCUAAUCGUUGCCACCGGCGAAAAUGCUGAGGAGGUCGUGCCGGAUAUUGAAGGAAUGAAUCAAUUUGAGGGCCCUAUUCUUCACACGAGCUCAUACAAGAGCGGGGAGUUGUUUCGUGGGAAGAGAGUUUUGGUGGUUGGAUGUGGGAAUUCAGGCAUGGAGGUCUGCUUGGAUCUUUGCAACUAUAAUGCUCGCCCAUCCAUCGUGGUUAGAGACUCGGUGAGCAUACAUAAGCUCUCUCAUAUAGAGAAAGUAACUCACCUGAGUGAGAUUGCCUACUCCAAAUUCUUGUGUGCCAUUCUUAGGAUUUAUUUAACGUAACACACUCUCUCUCUCUUUCCCCUUACCAUUAUAGCAAUGAAUUUUGACGAAAAAACAAGGAACCUGUCAUUUUUUAACCAAAUUAUUUAAUAUAUUGCACCAAGUUUCUUGUAAAAUAUCUUCAUUUUCCAAUUGGUAAUAGUUGGUUUUCCUUCGCCAACAAUAAUAUAAGCCUAGAAAAUAGAAAAACAUUAUACUAGUUGGGAAUAUGUUCUGCAACAGUAGAAACAAAGUAAAAUGAGGCUCUUUUAUGCCACUUUCACCCACUUGGGAAGGAGUUGGAAAUUGCUUGUUUGAGACUCAACUAUUCUUGUAAACUUUAUUUUGUGUUGUGUUGCGUUGUUGACUUUAGCUUUAGUGCUAUGAAAUGUAUUUUGUUACAUAUGUACUUGAAUCUCUCUCACUUUCUUGGAAUAUGUUUGCAUGCGUAGCAAUAGUCAGCAUUCCAAAAACUCAUAAAUGUUACAGCCUGUUCCUUCUCUUUAAUAAAAAUUUUCUGUGGAAAGUGUUGCAGAUUCUAAAGGAUGUGGAAAAUAACAUUGCAAUGAAAGAAGCAAAUUCACACACUCACACACACUUGGGGGGGGGGGCUCAUUUCAUUCGCUAUCUUAUCUCUUAGUCCUUUUUUCUUAAAGCUUUUUAAGCAACUUUUCUUUUGGUUGUUUUGGUGGUGUGUUAUUGCAGGUGCACGUCCUGCCUCAAGAGAUGCUUGGAAGAUCAACUUUUGGAUUGUCCAUGUGGCUGCUCAAGUGGUUUCCUUUGGGCCUUGUGGAUCAAAUUUUAUUACUGAUAUCUCGGUUCAUGCUUGGUGAUACUUCUCAAUUCGGUCUCCAUCGUCCUAAACUUGGUCCUAUCCAGCUCAAAAAUGCCACAGGAAAAACACCUGUCUUGGAUGUGGGUACUCUUGCUAAGAUCAGAAGUGGGGAUAUUAAGGUUUGCAGGGGAAUACAGAGACUAAUGCAUCAUUAUGUGGAGUUUGUUGAUGGAAGCACGGAAAAUUUCGAUGCUAUCAUCCUAGCCACAGGUUACAAAAGCAACGUACCUUCUUGGUUGAAGGGUAACGAAAUGUUUUCAGAGAAAGAUGGACUGCCCCACAAGUCAUUCCCAAAUGGAUGGAAAGGUGAAAAUGGGUUGUAUGCAGUAGGUUUUACACAGCGUGGCCUGCUUGGCACGUCUAUUGAUGCAAGAAGAAUUGCACAAGACAUUGAGCUUCGCUGGAAAGCUGAGGCCACAGGUUUCAUGGCCUUUGCUUGUGCAUCACCACAACAAUCAUGACUCCAAAAUGAUUACAUUGAAAGAAAGAAGGAAAAAAAAAAUCUAAUGAACCUUUUGGUUUCUUGGACAUCUAAUGAAGUUUCUCCUCUCAUUUGAGCGAGCGAAGCAGGAAUAGAAAGACAAGGACAAGUUGUUUUUAACCUUUCAAAUGCACAAAAGCUAGGAAUGUUAGGGUAAAAAGCUGAGGGUGAUAAUAUUUGUUUCUUGGGGAGGAGAAGAAGAUUCUCAAUGUGUAUAUCUUGUUCAUCAUUCUUGUUUUAUAUUAUUAGUUAGGUAAACUUUUUAAGUGAAAGGGUGGAGUAGUAUGCUUUUGCAAUUUCAUAACAUGUUUCAAAAGGUUAGAUAUGGUGAAAGUAAUUAAU